UUUUAUGUUUGGAUAAUUAUAAUUUAUUAUUUAUAUUUUAUAUUUGGAAAAUUUUUUAUUUGUAUUAUAUAUUUAUAAAUUAAUAAGUUUCAAACUGAUCAACCAAUCCAAACCAAACCGAUCAUAAAUUGUUUGGUUUGAUUUGGAUUCUAAAUUAGAAAAACCGAUAUGUAUAGAUUGGAUUGUAUUUCGGUCCAAAACCAAACCAAUCCAAUCCAUGCCCACCCCUACUAGCACCUCCUCAUAGAAUUAAUUGUUUACUCCAUCUUUAUUAGAGUUUUAAUCUGCCAUAUGAUAUAUAGUUCUUCUUGGUGCCUCUUUCUUUGAUAGGGUUAUCAACAUUUUUUUUCCCCUUUUGUACCACCUUCAUUGAUCAUAUUCAUUAAAUUAAUUUAUGGAUUCAUAGGCUUUUUGAUAGCCUCUUCUUUCUGUCUGUUUGAGAUAAUGCCUUGUAUAAGAAGCUUGAAUAGCUCUCACGCAUAGUCUUGGCCUAAUUAACUGAAUCCUUUAUUUUUCUCCUUUUAUAUUAAGUGGGUGUAUGCUUCUUGUGAAUCAAAUAGUUAGGUGAGGUUUGUGCUUGAGUUGAUUUAUGAAUUACCUUGUUUUCGGGAUGGCAAAGACAAUUAUUGAUGCUACUUUGAGUCUUAUCUUUCAUGAUUCACCCAGCAGUUUGGCUGCUGCUGCUCUUUUCUAUGUCUUGACAAAUGGCUCGUAAGUUUAAUGGAUCUUUAACAAAAUGAUGAGGAAUUUCAGCCUGUGGAAAUAUAAUAAGAUGCAAUUCUUUCCUGUAAACAGAGUUUCCAUGGUCUGUUUAGACUUUUAAAAUGCGGGGGUCUAGUACACAUCAUGCCUGUUUUAUGAGUAUAUGUAUUUUUUGUUAGCAAUUAAUUUCACUAUAUAUGUAUGUAUUUGUGUAAAUGGGUACUUGUCUAUAUAGAAGAUAAUCAUAAAAGGUCUGCUUUCUUUAUCAGGACCAAGAUGAUCACCUUUUGGUAUCACCCAAUUGCAUUCGGCUUCUAAUUAUGUUGUUGAAACCAAUCAUCUCUACCACCAUUUAAGACAAAGUACCAAAAAUAUCUUCUAGGUCUAUCGCUACACAUGGUUGCUCACACCUUGCGAAAUGUACUACCAAAAAAAUUAGACUCUAGUUCUGCUGCGAUUUUUUCCAAGGUUCCUGAGAUUAUUGUACGUUGCAAGGAAAUAAAACCAAGCUGUGGGGAUGAUACUGGAGCAGUAAAGCCAGAGUUAUGCCCUAAAUGGAUGGCGCUGCUGACAGUGGAGAAAACUUGCUUAGCCACUAUUUCUCUUGAAGCUUUGUUCAGUAUUGCAGCUGAUAAUUUUCUUGUUCUAUUGCAUAUCACCAUAUUCUUCCCUUCAGUAUGGACUACAAACAUUUAUCAUAUUUCUGCAAAUGAAUAAUCUAUCACAAGAGGAAUACUCAUUAUGUAGGUGUAAUAGCAUGGAGAUACAUAUGAUUUCAAUGUGGUACCGGUGUUCAUUAAGUGCUUGUCAAACUUUAAGAUUUUGCAUAUUGCAAGUCAUUUCAGAAUUCCCAGUACUGCUUUUCAGUUUUCUAAAUCAUCUUGCUCAGUCUGAUACACUUUAGAGAAAAUAGUUUCUGCUGUUGUAAGUUAUGGACAUAAUUUGCAAGUUCCUUGAUCUUUCAUCUUUUUGAUGACAAAUUUUCAAGCGACUUUCUUUUAUUUUGGGUUGGCGUAAAUAGCUAUGGCUUUUUCCAUAUUUGCUGUCGCAAUAUUUAUGUUAUUUUCCAUUCUUCCCUGCUGAUUCCCCUUUGGCUUUCUUUCUGGAUCUUGUCAUUUCAGAAACCACUGGUGCAGUGAGGAAAACUGGGGGCAAUUUUAAGGAAAAGUUACGAGAGCUUGGAGGUCUUGAUGCUGUUUUAAGGGUGGUAUAAACUAUCGUUCAGAUAUGGAAGUGGAUGCAUGGUCCAUGGAAAGUAGCUCGCCUUUUACCCGGGAUACAAAAGUUGACAAGGAUAUGCAAAGCUUGAUUUUGCUUUUGAAAUGCUUGAAGAUCAUGGGCAAAGAUAUUCAGAAUUAUUUGCUUGGAAUUAAAGGAAACAAGGAUCGUAUCUUUCGUGGAACUUGUUUAAGUGCCAUAAAGAUUCUUUCAGGGGGAAACAAUGAGACCUUAUUGAUUAAUUCUUCUAAGAACUACAGAGCUGUUAAUGAAGAAGGCUCCAGUCUUCUUUCUGACUUUCUUCUCACUGCUGUUAAGGAUGCAAUCAUAUCCAGUGCUUGCCACAACAAGGGCUGCCCGCCACUCUCACUUCUCUUCACCUGUGGUCUCUUCCAAACCUGAAAUCCGUAAAAGGAGACACAUUUCAACAUCUAACCUCCCUUCAAAAAUUGAGCAUCAAUGAAUGUUGUUUGCUUAACCUGUGGUGCCAGAGAGGGAUAGGGGAAGAUUGGCCUUACAUCAAACACGAUCCUCUCAAAAUCGUAGAUUGGGAAGACGUGGCUCAAAUUUUCUGAUCCAGAACCACAACGAGUAAGAUUCUCUUUCUCUUUUGCUUUAAGUAAAUGUAAUUAUACAUACUCAGAUAUAAUGUUCAAUACCCAUUUAAAUGGAGGUCCAUGUCACCUAAUUUAUAUAUCUGUUGUUCUCUGUCAUAUAGUCCUGGAGGAUAGAGAGAAAAUGCAGUAAAUUUUUUUUUUUUUCUUUCUGUUUUCGGUAUGUUACAAUCCCUUUUCUUCCCUAUUUUAACUUACUUGUGAUAAGCUUUAAUUUGCAACUUCUCUCCCCACUGAUAAAAGCAUAGUUUCAUGAUUCCCAGUAACUGAUUCAACAAGAUCCAUUUCAUCUCGGCAAGCCUUCUUGGUUUUGAAACAAAGUUCUAGCUGCACUUUCAGUCUUCACGUAGUUCAUCCAUACUAUCACAGACUCAUUGAUUGUUUGAAAAGUUGUCUAUCAAACUUCAUUUCUUGCAAUCUCAGCCCGUGGUUUUUGCAGUCUUAUCGGAUCCCCGCUUUUCACUGAUAUUCAACGUGUGGCUAUGACAUACUGCUUUCAGCAUCCUCCGCAUAACCCAUUUUGUAUAACAUGUUUAAAUUUUGAAAGGACUUUUUUAAUCCUCACAAAGAACCAAGCUCACCAUGAGAGGACGCAAUAAAUAAGACUUAAGGUUGCACUUUUCUAGGACUGAAGUUGAUAAAGGAACAGUUGUGCUUGAGGAAAGUUUCUAUUCGAGAAAUGCACCUGACAUGCUUACCAAGUCACGUCCAGUUGGUCAGUUCAAGCACUGCUUAAAUUUGCGAAGGAUAAAUAAAGCCUGAAAAUUAGAGUGAGAAAUCUGGGUUUUUUUUUUUUUUUUUUUUUUUUUUUCAUGUUGAUCAAAGUUGGAAAAUAACAAAACAAGGGGAGAAUCGUUAGCUUGUGUUUUAUUAUUGACUUGAAGAAGUCACCAUUUUUAGCAAGCGGGUCUUAUAUCACCUACUGGUUUGGAGAUGGCUAAUGUUGUAGCUGUUAAAAUAUUGGCUAUUGGGUUUAUACUAAAAAAUAAGUUGUUGCUGUCUUUAAUGGGUGUGAAGUUAGCUUCUUCAUAUAUUAGAUAUGGUUUUGCUAGCUGGCUGUAUCAGCAACUUAGCGAGUGUAAGAGAUAUGUAAUCCUUUUCAAUUUUCAGUGAGAAAAUCUAAAGAAAGGAGAGGGAGAGAGAUAAAAUCAUGCUAUUUUCUUGGGAAACACUUCUGAGCGUUAAUCUAUCUUGAGUUUUGAGUGUGUGAGCUGUAAGAGUGAGUUUGUAGAGGUGUUUCUUGGUCAAUGGAACAAGGAUUUUCUUUGGACGGUGGAUUUUCUGGUUUAUAUUCUGUAGGUGUCUUUAUUGUUUAGUAGUCUGGAUAGUUUAUACAGUUCAUAUACAGCUCCUCCAAUCUAAGACUGGAUUUUUCUGUAGGAAUUUAGGGGGAUGUUUAAAGCAUAUGACAUUUUCUGGUACUGCGAAUUGAUUCUCUGGUUACAGUUCAUACUUCACAAUUUGUUUGGAUUGAGUUGGUGUCAUUUACCUCAUUCCGCUAUUGCUGAUUUCAACAAUGACAAGCUUACAACCAUGGCUGUUUCUCAUUAAGCGUAGCACUUUGUUGAUGUUUAUUAAAUUUGAAUAUUGGAGUAUCUGCAGCAUACCAACGUGGAACUCGAACUACAAAACUUCUAUUCUCUUAUUUCGUUAUUUGAUUUUCAUCUUUUUUAUCGACAAACAAUGGGCGUCUACACACAUUCACUGCUUUUUUCCUGUAACAGAGUUUCAGAUUUUUUUGUGUUUUUUC